UACCAGAGUGACCCCACCCUAAGCAUUGUGAAAGAAGGACUGUUGAAAUAGCACCUGGCAUUUCACGCUGAACUCCUGUAACACUUGCUGAUUCACUGACCACAGUGAAGGGAAAGUACACUGGAUAUUCAGCCGGCCUUUAUGGGUGAGCCCUGCUGGUAAACAUGAACUCAUCUGAGAAGUCACAGGUUUUAAAAUUCACAUGCAGCAACUUUGAAUUUUUUUUUGAAAUAUGGUAAAACAAAUCAAUUUUUAAAAUAUGAAAUUUAAAUAGAUUAAAACUAGAAAUCUAAAUAUUUGUAAAAGGAAUAACUUUUACAAUCACAGAUCCUUUCGUUGUCGUUGAUGAUGUAUUUCCUCCUGGAAAGUAGAAAAUUAAGGCUCAUAAUGCUACUACAAAGACACAUGCACAUGUAUGUUUAUUGCUGCACUGUUCACAAUAGCGAAGACUUGGAACCAACCCAAAUGUCCAUCAAUGACUGGAUUAAGAAAAUGUGGCACAUAAACACCAUGGAAGAUUAUGCAGCCAUAAAAAAAGUUGAGUUCAUAUCCUUUGGAGCGACAUGGAUGAAGCUGGAAACCAUCAUUCUGAGCAAACUAUCACAAGGACAGAAAACCAAACACCGCAUGUUCUCACUCAUAGGUGGGAACUGAACAAUGAGAACACAGGGACACAGGAAGGGGAACAUCACACACUGGGGCCUGUCGUGGGGUGGGGGAAUGGGGGAGGGAUAGCAUUAGGAGGAAUACCUAAUGUAAAUGACGAGUUAAUGGGUGCAGCAAACCAACAUGGCACAUGUAUACAUAUGUAACAAACCUGCAUGUUGUGCACAUGUACCCUAGAACUUAAAGUAUAAUAAAAAAAAAAAAGAAAAUUAAGGCUAUUUGUAAUAGGUCAAAAAUAAUUAAGAAAGUACCAAUCUUUAGGAAAGGUAAAUAUUGAUGUCACAGUUUGCCCAUAGGAACAUAUCACAAUCUCUGGUGACUUGGAGUGUGAGGAUAUUGGUUCACAAGGUUAAAUAAGAAUGGAAAAAAGAGGGAGAAAUUUCAAAACACAUCUAACCAGAUUUCCAGACAUGUUAAGGAGAAAUUGGAGGGAGGAAGAAUUUAAAACAAUGCCGGGUAAGAAUUAUCCUGACAAUGAAAUCUAGCCAUUCUUGGGUUUAGGAAGUCAUUAAAUACUGAGUUGAAAAGAAAUGAAGGCUCUAUACAAGUACAAAUCACUGAGCUGCAGAACAGUAAUGAAGGAAAAAAAAAUCUUAAAAGCAGCCAGAGGAAAAAAAUACAGAUAAUUUAAAAAUUAAUGGCAAGCAGAACAAAGAGCUGACUUUUUAACAGCAAUAGUGAAAGGAAGCAGUUGACUUUAUCUUCAAGGUAUGGUGAAGAAACAACAGACCAUCAGAAUGCUAUGCCCAGUGUUAAGAAUUAAAUUGUCUCCCAAAAAGUACUUAUAGGUGGGCAUGGCUUGACAGUGUGGACAAUCAAUUAGGAAAGGGUAGGUUUAUGUAAAAUAGGUGAGGGGUGGAGGUCAAUCAGAGGAAAACGCGCCAAAUGGGAAGACAAGUUCUCAAUUGUUGCUUGGCUUUCAGGCUUUAAACUGUCUUUGGCUUGGAGGGGUUUCCCCGGGAGCCCACCCCUCUCUACCUAGGCAUUUAGCUGCCUUCUGCCACUCUCAGUACCACAAACUGAGUUGCCUAAAACAACAAAAUUUAUUUCUUUCACAAUUUUGAUAUCUAAAAGUUUGAAAUCAAGGUGUCAGCAGGACCACGCUCCUUCUAAAACCUGCAGUAGAGAAUCCUUUCCUGCUUCUUUUGAGUUUCUGGUGUUUUAUUGGCGAUUCUUUGCAUACCUUGCCGUGUAGCUACCACACUUCAACCUCUACCUCCAUUGUCACAUGAUAUUAUCUCUUGUGUCUCUUUGUCUCUUUUCCUCUUUUUACAAAGGCACCAGUCAUAUUGGAUUAAUGGCUCAUCCUACUUCACUAUGACUUUAUCUUAACUUAAAUAGUUACAUCUGUAAGGACCCAAUUUCCAAAUAAAGUCACAAUCUGAGAUACUGUGUGUUAGGACUUCAACAUAUGCCCGGCAUUUGGUUUUUUAAACAUAAUCUUUUAUUAUUACUGAAAUCAUAAAUAUUUAUUGUAUAAAUUAAUGACAUUUACACUGGCAAAAAGAAAAUAAGAUAAAAUGUCACAUUGUCACUAUCCAUAAAUUAUUGUUGUUAAUAUUUUAGAUUAUAUUUCUGUACCAUUUAUAUGCAAACUACACAGAUACAAAACAAACAUGUGCCAUUAUUUUUACUGACUUUUAAAAAUAAAUGUAUUAGUUAACCUUUUAAUAAACUAUUUUGUAAUAGUUGAUUUACAAAAAAAGCUGAAAUGAUAUCUUUUUAUAAUCUUGAUUUUUCAAUAAUUGAUCUCCAUUAUUUCAUUUCAGAAACUUACCAAUACAUAGAUGAUAUUAACGUUUUCUGAAAUCUCUAUACAAACAGAAUAUAUGUCAUACCUCUGAUUGUUGUUCUCUUAAAUCACAUUUAAUCUAAUAAAACCCAGUUUUUCAUGAGGUUUGGCUAAUUUUCUCACAGAAUGUUCCAACUUCUGGAUUUCUCUGCUUGCUUGUUUUGCUUUCUUUUGGUAGGUUAUGAUUGAUUCACUUUUUAUUGACAUUUCAUAGUAAGUCAUAAAUAAAAUG
rnacentral:lncRNA from 1 species